rnacentral:rRNA from 1 species
AUGGCGUGCAUCGCUGCCCCUGCCACAUUUGCUUCCUCCUUUGCUCGUCUCUGUAGCAGGAUCCCGUUUGCGCCUCCCCUCAGCGCCACCUCCUUGUCGGCCUCCACCCCUCCCUUCCAUCCCAACCGCCUCAUGGUGAGGUGGGAGGUUCCUCUGAUGGGCUGGUUGAAGCUGAAUAUCGACGGAUCCGUUUACCACGACGGGUCCGGCCAGGUGAGAAUCGGCGGCACCAUCCACGACUACCACGGCCGCUUCCUCUUCGCCUUCGCUGAGCCGACGGAGCACUCGACGGUGGGAAUAUUGGAGGUGCGAGCACUGAAUCACGGGCUGUGGCUCACUAUGAGUUUCUUCUAUGGCGGGCUGGUGGUGGAAGGCGACGACCAGGUGCUGGUGGAGCUCCUUACCGGGAAGGAAAGGUAGACCCGCAUACCGAUAUCGAUGCAACAGGAGAUCCGCGCACUGCUUGAGCACUUCUCGACGUACCAGCUGCAGCACAUAUACCGGGAGGGAAACUAGGUCUCCCAAGUCAUGUGCAAACAAGCAUACCAGCGACCAGGGGUAUGGACAAGCGGGAUCGUGCCGCACGCCAUGUGGGAGAAGGCGCUAGAGGACAUGCAUGGUGUGGCACACAAGCGGAUCUGCAAGAAGAAGCUAUGGUGGGCUGGUGGCUUCCAAGAUGGGCGCGUACCAAGCCAAGCGCGAGCGGCGGCGUGGUGA